AACGUAUCACCAUAUUUGAUACAAACUGAGUGCUGUGAUGAGCCGAGCAUGGGAGUGAUCCUUUGCUGAUUGCAGCUGCUGGAAGACUUCAAGGAAAAGGUGGACCAACUCUCCUGUGUCAUUGUAUUUGCAGAGCAGCAACUAUACCUCCAUUCCUCUUCUGAACUUAAUCAAUUUAAAGGAAACAAACCGACGAAGAAUUUUACUUUUGAUGGAAAUGAAGAAUGUUUGGAGUUCUUGUUAAGUUUCAAUAGCUUUAAGUUAAAUUCAACUUCACGUUAACUUUAGAGAUCUGCAAAUCUCAAACUUAUGUAUAAAGAGUCCAAUGCAGAUCCUGACAGUUUUCCUCGGAGACUGUCCUCUGACACUUGCUGGAGUCUGGGAUCCUUCCAUAUCGAGAUUCUGACAUCUCUACACAAGGCUUCUAAAGUCUCUGCGGAGGGAAAGAGAGCUAGAGGAUUACAUAGGAUGGAUUUUGGCUACAGACUUAGAGGUGGCUUCAUUACUUCCACAGACAUUCCAUUGAUUAAAAACUAAAUCACCUUUCCAAUGCUAACUUUAAGUUUUCCAACCUCUUCCUCUAGGGCAAUAAGUUCAUUGGACAUGUGAUCUGCCUCUCAAGUUACAUAGCAGGCAACAGUUCUACAAAGAAUUUUUCUAAUGCAUAACGUGCACAGCCAUCUUUCCACCCUCUUACAUCAGUUUUAUUGCCUCUCAUUGCUGGGUUAUGUCAUUGGCACACAUUUUAGGUGUUUGUUACAGUGGCACCCCGCUCCAAGGUACUCAUUUCUGUACUAUUAAGUAUAGCUAUGCUACGAUUCAGUAAUAAAUAAACCCUAGCAUUAGAUAGAGGGGAAGAGUAAGAGUUAAAACUAGAAAUGUCUGCAGGAUCCAGAUCACAGAGAAGUGAGAAUAAGAUGUGAUGUAGGAUCUUAAUCUGGCAGGGGCAUGCAGGCAUGAAGCACGGAGAAAUAGAGGCAGAGUAACAAUUUAGGAGAUGAUUGCUAUAACCUGAGAAAGGAUAUCAAGGGUCUAAACCAAGGUUGUGUGGAAGAAACGGAAAGAAAGGGAGGCAUCUGAGAGAUAUCCUGAAGGAAGAACAUCUGGCUUUGUAGAAAAGUAGUCAAUCAAAGUCAAAGAGGCAGGUCCCAGCUCCAAUUACUCAAUUUACUGGCUGUUAAAUUUCCCUUAUUCUCUGUUGCCUCGCUCUAAGACUGAGAUGUUCAAAUCUGGCCUGUAGAUUUCUAAAGUUUAUUUUGAUAAUCAAAUGAUAUUAGAUACAUGAAAAUGUUUUGUAAACUGUAAAAUGUAAUGGAAAUGUUAGUUAAGUCAUUAAAUAAAAAAUAACUAAAAAUGACUCUAAAGCUUUGUG